AUCUUCAAGUCCCUUUUACUUCUCAUUGUUUAAUCCUAUGUGGCAUGAACUGCGAAAGGAACAGUGUCAAAGCCUGUAGAACUGCAAUUAUAGAAAUUCGUUACGGAAACCAUGACGUUUGCAGUGGCAUUAUGACAGAGCAAUCACACAGUGAACACAGGAGGGAAAAUUCACUGAAGAAACAUCAGACUGGGUGUGUAAUCAGAGAGGAAAGGAAAGCAUCAAUGACUAAGAUUGUAAAUUCAACAUCAAGGUGCUGGAAGACUGUGUGUUUGUUGAGUGCUGGCUUCUUCACAGCCAUUUUCUCACUAUAAACUCGUGUGGCAGAAGGAGCCAGAGAUACGCCUGAUGUCUCUUCUAUAGCGUCUCUUCCUCAAGAUCUGUCUAAUUACAGCACACCCACCACUGUCUGGCAGAUUAGAUGUCAAAAUAAAUUUUGAGGAUGGUGAAAUCAGAAGAAAAGACCUGUGGGAAAUGUCCCUCACAGAGUUGGUUGUUGCACUGUGCAGCAGGUAACUGGAGUCUUGCAUACGGAGAUCACAGCAGCUCAGUUUGCAGCUCUCUGAUGACUGGAGCCGGAACAGGAAGGCGCUACUGGGGAGAUAAUGAUGUGCAGGCAGGCUCCAGUGCGUCUCAGUCAUGUCAGACUCAUAGAGGAACCCACAGCAGGCCCUGGGGACAGUCUAGAUGAACGAUUUAUUUUAAAACAGUUUGGAAGCGUAAGUCUGUUUGCCAGCAAUUGGUUAAGAAGUUUUGACUUUUCAUUUGAACUCUAUCACAAACAUUUUCUUCCUCCUGUGUGGUAUUUGAGUGGCCAGAGAGAAAUACUUUUAACUUAGCUAGGGAGAAGCUGAGUCAGGGUGAGGAUGAGAUUAGAAUGAGCAUGGUGUAGUUAUUUGGUUCCCAGGCUCUUGCAGAAAUGCAUUUUAGCUAGCAUGGCAAUCUGUGGAGAAGGUUCCCUGAGGCCUUGGAGGCUGCUCAGAUCUGUGUGAUACUUGUCCUUAGAAGGCAGGAACCCAGAAUGCUUUUAAGGAUGCUUCUGGUUCCUUUUUAUCACCAACAAGCUUGAGCUAGAUUUUCUUCUCUACAGUCCUGCUUUGAAAGACUUCACCUGCUUUGAAGUCACUUUCCUUGAAUCCCCUAGACUUUUCUCAAAGAUCACCCAUAUCCAGGUCCCAGAAACCCAGGUUCCAAAACCCCAUCUGAAAUACUCCACAAUGGCCUCCCUACCCAUCUUUCCCUCCCCUGCUCAGCUACCUCAUAAGACCUUGAAGCUUCACAUGAAGUAGUUAAUGCCUUUGUCUUUCUUUUUAUAGUUUAUCACAUAGAUAAGAUAAUAUAUUUU
rnacentral:sRNA from 1 species